UACGGAGGGGGCUAGCGUUGUUCGGAAUUACUGGGCGUAAAGCGCACGUAGGCGGCUUUGUAAGUUAGAGGUGAAAGCCCGGGGCUCAACUCCGGAAUUGCCUUUAAGACUGCAUCGCUAGAAUUGUGGAGAGGUAAGUGGAAUUCCGAGUGUAGAGGUGAAAUUCGUAGAUAUUCGGAAGGACACCAGUGGCGAAGGCGACUUACUGGACACAUAUUGACGCUGAGGUGCGAAAAGCGUGGGGGAGCAAACAGG
rnacentral:rRNA from 1 species